GGCAGGGGGAGGAUAGGCCUGUUGCGUGGAUCUGGGCCUGGGCUACUGUUGUUGCAGUGCCUGAGGUGAGGGAGAGGUUGGGGUGCUGUCCUUGUCCUUUUUCAUUUCCGCUAUCUCUCCCUGGGUGGGUAAGUCCUGCACAAAAGAGCUGAGUGGAGCCUCACUGCCCUGGACCAUGACAGUGCCAUUCUGGAAAAUGUGUUCUAAAGCUGAACUCCACGCUGGGCACCAACUUAUUUGACUCUGACUACAAGAUGCUGCACGUGCUGGUGCCAGGCUCCAACCCCAUUGAGGUCCGUACCUCCCCCCUUCUCUUCAUCGCAUUUUUGCUGCCCGCCAUGACGGUGGAUGAGUUUCUACGGAGACGGCAUGGUGCAGAACCUGGCCCUGUUCCUCAGGGUUCCCACCAACAUGAUCCGUAUUACUAAGAUCGGAGGAUAGCGGCUCCAAGCAGAGGAAGAGACGCCCCCGGUCACACAGAUCAAAUCAAAUCGUAUUGGUCACAUACACAUGGUUAGCAGAUGUUAUUACGAGUGCAGCUCAAAAUUCAAAAGGCACUCGCACAUCUGAGCAAUCUUUUUGCAGGUGCAUGGUAAUAGUUGAACAAGAUGACAGACAAAGGAAUCCGCACACUGCUCUUGAUAGUAUCACUGAUCUUUAAUAAGCUUACGUAUCGGCCUCACGGCCUUUGUCAGAGCUUUUACGAGUGUAGCGAAAUGCCAGCAGCAUACCACCCUGCUGGCUUGCUUCUGAAGCUAAGCAGAGUUGGUCAUGGUCAGUCCCUGCAUGGGAGACCAGAUGCUGUUGGAAGUGGUAUUGGAGGCACUCUUUCCUCUGGUAUAAAAAUUAAAAACAAUGCCCCAGAACAGUGAUUGGGGACAUUGUCCGGUGUAGGGUGCCGUCUUUCAGAUGGGAUGUUAAACGGGUGUCCUGACUCUCUGUGGUCACUAAAGAUCCCAUGGCACUUAUCGUAAGAUUAGGGGUGUUAACCCCGGUGUCCUGGCUAAAUUCCUAAUCUGGCCCUCAUCACGGUCACCUAAUCUUACCCAGUUUAUAAUUGGCUCAUUCAUCCCCCCCUCCUCUCCCCUGUAACUAUUCCCCAGGCCGUUACUGUAAAUGAGAAUGUGUUCUCAGUCAAUUUACCUGGUUAAAAAAAUGAAUAGAUGCUUGUUCUUCCAGUUCCGACAGUGCAGUAAUAUCUAACAGGUAAUCUAACAAUUCCACAACAACUACUUAAUACACAUAAAUCUAAUUAAAGGGAUGGAAUAAGAAUAUGUUGAAAGCAUGCCGCCGACAGAGAUGGUCACUUCGAGUUCUUAGGAAACUAUGCCGUAUUUAGUUUUUUUAUGUAUUACUUCAUACAUUGUUACCGCAGGAAAUCUUAAGUCUUAUUACAUACAGCCGGGAAGAACUAUUGGAAAUAAGAGCAAUGUCAACUUACCAACAUUACGACCAGGAAUACGACUUUCCCGAAGCGGAUCCUCUGUUCGGACCACCACCCAGGACGGAUGAUAGCGGGGUGAACAGGCAGUGGCUCAGGUGGUUGUUGUCCUUGAUUAUCUUUAUGGCCUUCCUAUUAUUCUCUGUAGCGAAUGUAACAUCUGUCUCCAUGAAAUACUUUACUGGCAUGGAGGCAACUGGACUGGAGGGAAACACCACCAUGCUACUGGGCUAACUUCACAGAUAUGGCCAUACUCACCAGUGGCAUGCCCUCUCAGAAAAUUAUUAAAGAACACUCAAUAUUCACUCCAUUGUAGUCAUAUAGGGCAAUGGGUUCUUCACGAUUUGAAAGGGUGUGCUUCACCACUUAUUACAAAUGGCAAUGAUACAAAUAACUGUCAAUUGUAAGCAUAUGUGGGAACUCCUUCAAGACUUUUGGAAAAGCAUUCCAGGUGAAGCAAAUAUAAAAUAUAUUUUGAUUUGUUUAACACUUUCUUGUUUACUGCAUGAUUCCAUAUGUGUUAAUUCAUAGUUUUGAUGUCUUCACUAUUAUUCUACAAUGUAGAAAAUAGUAGAAAUAAAAACCUUUGAAUGAGUAGAUGUUUUAAAACGUUUGACCGGUAGUGUACAUAUACUGUAUAUUUUUACAAUAACAAACCAGAAAACAGACAGAUUUGGAGCAUCUGUUGAUGAAUGUAUAACUUCAACUAUCCUACAGUGUAAUGUUUGGUGAUUAUUGAAUCAAAAUUAUGUUUCUAUUAAAUGCUAGUUGCAACAUCAAA
ensembl:lncRNA